rnacentral:rRNA from 1 species
AACGCGAAGAACCUUACCAGGUCUUGACAUCCUUUGACCAUUCUGGAGACAGAACUUUCCCUUCGGGGACAAAGUGACAGGUGGUGCAUGGUUGUCGUCAGCUCGUGUCGUGAGAUGUUGGGUUAAGUCCCGCAACGAGCGCAACCCUUGAUUUUAGUUGCCAGCAUUCAGUUGGGCACUCUAAAGUGACUGCCGGUGUAAGCCGGAGGAAGGUGGGGAUGACGUCAAAUCAUCAUGCCCCUUAUGACCUGGGCUACACACGUGCUACAAUGGAUAAUACAAAGGGUCGCGAAGCCGCGAGGUGGAGCCAAUCCCAUAAAAAUUAUUCUCAGUUCGGAUUGCAGGCUGCAACUCGCCUGCAUGAAGCCGGAAUCGCUAGUAAUCGUAGAUCAGCAUGCUACGGUGAAUACGUUCCCGGGCCUUGUA